UACGAAGGGGGCUAGCGUUGCUCGGAAUCACUGGGCGUAAAGCGCACGUAGGCGGAUCUUUAAGUCGGGGGUGAAAUCCUGGAGCUCAACUCCAGAACUGCCUUCGAUACUGAAGAUCUCGAGUCCGGGAGAGGUGAGUGGAACUGCGAGUGUAGAGGUGAAAUUCGUAGAUAUUCGCAAGAACACCAGUGGCGAAGGCGGCUCACUGGCCCGGUACUGACGCUGAGGUGCGAAAGCGUGGGGAGCGAACAGG
rnacentral:rRNA from 1 species